rnacentral:SRP_RNA from 1 species
GCUGGGCAUAGUCCCAGCUACUGAGGAGGCUAAGGCAGACGAAUUGCUUGAGCCCAGGAGUUUUCUGCUAUAAUGUGCUAUGCCCAUCUGGUGUCCACAGUAAGUUCAGCAUCAAUAUGGUGACCUCCCAGGACUGGGGAAUCAUGAAGUUGCCUAAGGAGGUAUGAACUGGCCCAGGUCAGAAAUGGAGCUGAUCAAAACUGUGCUGAUCAGUAGUUGGAUUAUGCCUGUGGAUAGCCACUGCAGUCCAGCCAGGGCAACACAGAGAGACUCUAUCUCU